UACGAAGGGGGCUAGCGUUGCUCGGAAUCACUGGGCGUAAAGCGCACGUAGGCGGGGCUUUAAGUCAGGGGUGAAAUCCCGGAGCUCAACUUCGGAACUGCCUUUGAUACUGGAGAUCUUGAGUUCGGGAGAGGUGAGUGGAACUCCGAGUGUAGAGGUGAAAUUCGUAGAUAUUCGGAAGAACACCAGUGGCGAAGGCGGCUCACUGGCCCGGUACUGACGCUGAGGUGCGAAAGCGUGGGGAGCAAACAGG
rnacentral:rRNA from 1 species